rnacentral:rRNA from 1 species
GUAGGUGGCAAGCGUUGUCCGGAAUUAUUGGGCGUAAAGCGCGCGCAGGCGGUUCUUUAAGUCUGAUGUGAAAGCCCACGGCUCAACCGUGGAGGGUCAUUGGAAACUGGAGAACUUGAGUACAGAAGAGGAAAGCGGAAUUCCACGUGUAGCGGUGAAGUGCGUAGAGAUGUGGAGGAACACCAGUGGCGAAGGCGGCUUUCUGGUCUGUAACUGACGCUGAGGCGCGAAAGCGUGGGGAGCAAACAGGGAUUAGAUACCCUGGUAGUCCACGCCGUAAACGAUGAGUGCUAAGUGUUAGGGGGGUUUCCGCCCCCUUAGUGCUGCAGCUAACGCAUUAAGCACUCCGCCUGGGGAGUACGGCCGCAAGGCUG